GACCUAAUGGUGAAACGGUAUCGCGUCCACACUUCAUGGUCCCAUCGUAUACAGCUUCAGUGGAAGUCCCUGGUUUGACUCCAGGUUAGGUCU